ensembl:lncRNA
CUUGACUGGAGGUGCCAGGUGUGCCAAUGUAGCAUUAACCUCUGAUCUUUGACCUUUUGGGCUCUGAUGUAUUUAUGUAAAAAGUGGUUAAUUUAAUCAAAUAUAGUAUAUUAUGAAUUAUUAUUAUUAUUUUGGAUCUGAGUAUUUUUCUAUCUAAGUGAGAGACACCUGGUUGACUGGAAUAGAGGCUGACUACACAGCGUAGUUGCAGAGGAACUGUUCAAAGUCUUUUAUUUUUAUUUCAUUUCUUGUUUUCUUUUUUGUUUUCUUUUUGCACAUUAAGUCUUCAGCUUCAGCAAACUCAAUGCAUGUCUUUUGGUUUACUUUCACUGUUGGUUUGGUCAGCUUAGGUUCACGAGUCUCCAGUUUACUGAAGUGCAGUAUUAACAGACUUGAGUGUGGGGGGGAAAAUGAGCCUUAGAUUGAGAGAACAACCUUUAGAACGAUUGACUUUGGCAGAAUAUUUAGGAACUGAAGGUCUUUGUACUGUGUCAUAUACUAAAAAGUGGUUUUUAAUUGAACAUCUUAAGUACUUCUGUCUCACCAAGUUGUGUUGUAACAUUCAUAAUGACUUAUGGACUAACUCCCUAAUGUAUUUACACUCAAUGUUCUGUACUGUAACAUAUUUAUGCAUACAUUAAGUGGCGCUGAACCCUGUCAGUAUAUGAUGAAUAGUGCCAGGUAGUUAGUGUAAACCAUUUGAUGGCAAGAAAAACAAACAUUGAUGCUCUUUAGCUGUACUGUUUGGUAGUUGAUGAUUAGAGGGACUUUCGUGUACUUGUAGCCAACAUGUCCUCCAUAUUCAUCGUUUUCCCACUUGUUUCAGGUCUUCACAGGGCUGUCAUUUAUAUAUGAAUAUGAAUAUCACACACACACACUCUUUCCCUCUUCUGUUUCGACGGCAGCGCAUUAUAGGCACAGAUUAAGUGUAGUGUUUAGUGUGGAUAAUCUGAACACAUCUAUGCAAACUUUGCUUCAUCAUGACUGUUGGCGUGUGUCUAUGUGGUGACAGCAGCACUGAUUUUACCUCGUGCUGAUCUGAGUGGUGCCGUCAGGGGGUGGGGGAAAGGAUUUUGUGCUUCACCACAUGUUUUUUUUUUGUUUUUUGUUUGUUUUUUUCCUUUCCUUUAACACUUUCAGGCCCGCGGAUUAUGGUAUUUAUGAGCAAUAUGUCCUCGCAGCUCACAUCUGGAUGAUGGUGUCGUUUGUCUUUGUUCAGGGAGCUGGAGGUGACGUGAUGAUCAAAUGAAUCUGACACUAGCUGCUCUUUGCUCUGCUCUGCAAUAGUGACAAAGCCUAUUUGUAUCAAGUCCUUUGUGCAUUUCUCCAUUGACCCUGAAGCUGUAAUUCUUAAGUACAUUUCAUUGGGAAUAACUCAACUGAUGCAAACAUUUCAAAAAAGGAAAAUGUCUCAGCUGUGUGGGUUUUUUUUUUUUUCUUUCCUAUGCCGUUACGUCUUUAGUGUCUUUAAGUUUACAUGUCACUCUCUUCUCUGGCGAAAGUGAAAUAAAAUCAUAGCUAAUUGAAUUCAUUCCUUCAGAUCUGCAACUGUUGUAUUUAUAAUUAAUGAUGAUAAUGACAUUUGUGAUGAGUAAUAAACCAUAAUAUAUUAAAUCA